UGCAAGUCGAACGAGAGAUGAGGAGCUUGCUCUUCAAAUCGAGUGGCGAACGGGUGAGUAACGCGUGAGGAACCUGCCUCAAAGAGGGGGACAACAGUUGGAAACGACUGCUAAUACCGCAUAAGCCCACAGCUCGGCAUCGAGCAGAGGGAGAAGGAGUGAUCCGCUUUGAGAUGGCCUCGCGUCCGAUUAGCUAGUUGGUGAGGUAACGGCCCACCAAGGCGACGAUCGGUAGCCGGACUGAGAGGUUGAACGGCCACAUUGGGACUGAGACACGGCCCAGACUCCUACGGGAGGCAGCAGUGGGGAAUAUUGCACAAUGGGGGAAACCCUGAUGCAGCGACGCCGCGUGGAGGAAGAAGGUCUUCGGAUUGUAAACUCCUGUUGUUGAGGAAGAUAAUGACGGUACUCAACAAGGAAGUGACGGCUAACUACGUGCCAGCAGCCGCGGUAAAACGUAGGUCACAAGCGUUGUCCGGAAUUACUGGGUGUAAAGGGAGCGCAGGCGGGAGAACAAGUUGGAAGUGAAAUCCAUGGGCUCAACCCAUGAACUGCUUUCAAAACUGUUUUUCUUGAGUAGUGCAGAGGUAGGCGGAAUUCCCGGUGUAGCGGUGGAAUGCGUAGAUAUCGGGAGGAACACCAGUGGCGAAGGCGGCCUACUGGGCACCAACUGACGCUGAGGCUCGAAAGUGUGGGUAGCAAACAGGAUUAGAUACCCUGGUAGUCCACACC
rnacentral:rRNA from 1 species